AAUGAACGUUGGCGACGUGGAUUAGGCAUGCAAGUCGUUCGCCCCGCGAGGGGCGAGGCGCAAGGGUGAGUAAGGCGACGACAACCAACCCCGAGGGUGGGCAUAGCCGCGGGAAACUGCGGGUAAUUCCCAGCGAAGUCGGAGGGUGGCAUCAUCCACCGACCAAAGGUGCGAUAUCCGCCUCGGGACGGGUCGUCGUGGUAUCAGCUAGUUGGUGGGGUAACGGCCCACCAAGGCGAAGACGCCUACCGGGCGUGCGAGCGUGGCCCGGCACACUGGGACUGAGACACUGCCCAGACACCUACGGGUGGCUGCAGUCGAGAAUCUUCGGCAAUGGGAGCAAGCCCGACCGAGCGACGUCGCGUGGAGGACGAAGGCCUUCGGGUUGUAAACUCCUGUCGAGGGGGAACAAGGGCCGGUGGAGAGCCGGACUUGAGUGAUCCCUGGAGGAAGCACGGGCUAAGUUCGUGCCAGCCGCCGCGGUAAUAC
rnacentral:rRNA from 1 species